rnacentral:rRNA from 1 species
GACGUAGGGAGCAAGCGUUGUCCGGAUUUACUGGGCGUAAAGAGCGCGUAGGCGGACUGUUAAGUGAGAAGUGAAAUCUCCAGGGCUCAACCCGGAAACUGCUUUUCAUACUGGCAGACUUGAGGAUGGUAGAGGUUUGUGGAAUUCCUGGUGUAGCGGUGAAAUGCGUUGAUAUCAGGAGGAACACCCAUGGCGAAGGCAGCAAACUGGACCAUAUCUGACGCUGAGGCGCGAAAGCGUGGGUAGCAAACAGG